AACCCGUGUUGUAGACAUUUCCGCAAGAGGACUUUGAAUCGCUCCAAAGUCUCAAACAAGGAUUCAAGUUCUAUUUAAACAAAUGAAGAAAUCUCAUUGUGAAGUU